CCGAUUAAUCACUGGUUAAUUUUGGCCGCUCGUUAGGUUGGGUUGCUAAAUAUUGGAGAUAGAGACGAAUUUAAAAUUCCCAACAAAUGUAACCCAACAUAUGUGACCACACUUUCGUUGCUGCAAACCUAAACUUUUUAGCUUACAUUUCAUUCACUUCUGCCAAAUUUACAACCUAGCAAGGUUUUAGUUGUAAAAUUUUGUUAGAUCUUUGUUACGCCGUUAUUCAGUUACCACUCAAAGGUUUGCAGAAAUAAAUAGGCGAGCAGCAUUUAUUCAAAAUUGUUCAAAUUCACAAUGGCGGAAAAAUGAGAUUUCGUCUGAUCACUUUAAAUCGGAUCGCAUUUGGCAAUUUUUUAACGCAACGAAACAAAACGGUUUCACAUCACAGCCAAAUUAAAAGACCGAUAUUAGUAGUAUAGUAGGUACCGUUCGACCCGGAUUUUUGAGGUGGUGGAUGAGGUGGUG